CGGUGCACCCCUGAUGCUCCCCACCACCCCCACGUCCCGGUACCCCCCCGCUGCUCCCUGCCACCCCGGUGCCCGGUGCCCCCCUGAUGCUCAGCACCCCCACAUCCCGGUGCACCCCCGUUACUCCCCGCCACCCUGGUGCCCGGUGCCGGCGGUGACGCUGCUGCUGGCCCAGGCACGGUGCAGCAGAUCGAGGCGCUGCCGCUGGCCCACGUGCUGCACGAGCUGGGGGCCGGCCGGACGCGCGCCGGGGAAGCCAUCAACCCCCGCGUGGGCGCCGAGGUGCUGGUGGCCGUGGGGCAGCACCUGCGGGAAGGGGAGCCCUGGCUGCGGCUGCACCACGACGGGGCGCUGAGGGCAGAGCAGCGCCAGGCCCUGCAGGACGCGCUGCUGCUGGGCACCGGCACCGGCACCGCCGCGCCCCGCGUCGCCGAGACCGUGCUGCCCCGUGGCGCGCCCUGACCGCACGCAGGGACGGCGAUGACAGUAACGACGGGCAGCUGGCUUCAGGAAAACAGGCUCCACCAUCGGUAGGGCUGUGAAGCGGGUGUGUUUAUUCAGCGCUGGGCAGCACGGGGGCAGUCCCACCGAAGUCGUGUGCGCCCCAACGCGGCAACUUGCCAUGGCCAUACGCAGCAAAGGGCUGCAUGCGCAUGAAGUUUCCCAGUGCGCCUAUACACACACAUAACCUGUCCCCGCUUCGUAUUAAAAUUAAUUCAAGGAGUCAUUUCCAUCAGCUCCUCCCGCCUGCCUUGCGCAGUGUCUGCUGGUGGUGGUCGCCGGGGGCCGUGGGGAUGAAGGCUGAUAACUCCUCUUCAUCACCACCGGCUGGCCCCCUGCCUGUGCGCAGGCUCAGCUGCUCCUUGGCUCUCGCCCAACCCGCAGGGUCGGUCUCAGCAGGCUUUUGGGACAGGUUCCCCAUUUGUGUCAGGGAACAUCCUCUGUGAGGGGCCCUCGGACUCCUCGUUUCGGUUAAUUUGCACAGCAGUAAGCAAAGACACUCAGCAACAUCUACUUUAAUGCGAUUUAGCGAGCCCCCGUUCUUCCAUCCCUGGAUUCAAUAAUGAUUAUUUUAUUUAGAGAUCAUUAACGCGAUUAAGCGAGCCCCCGCCCUUCCGCUCCUGGCCUCAGCGGGGACGAAGGCUGGCGGCCCUUCCUCGUCCCCGCCGGCCGCCCGCUGCCCUCGGCGCAGACCCAGCCGCUCCUCGGCUCUCGCCCACCCUCAGGACCAGUUCCUCCCAGCUCCUGGGGACGGGCUCGCACCGUUAUCAGGGACUGGCCUGGGUGAGGGGCCCGAGGCUUCGUGCUUUAGUUAAUGAGCACAGUGCACGAUUAGUGAGGACGCCAAUUAGCAU
rnacentral:lncRNA from 1 species